CUGCGCCGCGAAGCUCCCAAUUCAACCAGACAGAGCUUCUGUUUUUGUGUAUAAACUCGAAAUCCUCUUCAUCAACACAAUACACCACAUCCACACAAUACACCACAUCCUUCAUAUAGCCUAGUCGUUAUUAUCGUAAUGCAAUCUCUAGAUUGAGUGUGUGUAUGUGCGUGUGUGUACGUGUGAGAUAGAGUGCCCGUGUGUUUGCUUGAAUGUGCUGUUUCUGUAUCACGUACAUGUGUGUGUUUAGAGUGAGCUGAUUCAGUGUCAGUGUGUGGACAUGAGUUAGACAGGUAGAUCAGUAUGAUAAAAUGGGCGCGCGCACUCUCGGACAAACGAGCGAAGUAUCGUAAUGGGUUCAGCAGGUGGAGCCCUAAUUCAGUAAACUGGUUCAGUUUACUGUUCCUGAAAUGAGAUGAACGUGAGAUUGACAGAGCCGCUCAAAAACAGCUCCGCUUCAAGUUAGCUUCAACAAUGCGAUAGUUAGACAGAUGAAGUCAACAAGUCUCGCUUACUUUUUAGUCUUGUCUUCAAUUAUAGACGCGCAUCGCUGAGGCGUGUGUCAGUGUUUGUGUGAGAGAGAAGUUAACCAUCUUUUUUAGAGUUGUCAAGAUAUUUCAUUUGCCUGUAUCAACAACCUUUUUGUCAAGUGUGCUGUUGGACCAUUCAAGAGGAACACAUGAAUCGCAAAAUUGGUGCACAUGUUGCUCACUUGUUGCAUUUUAUUCGCUAAUUAAUAUCAGUGUGGAAGACUUCAUUCGUCAAGAUGGUAGAAAACGGAUCGCAAAAGUGUCAAAUAGCCUAGUGACUGAGGUAGGUUACUUAUUAUUUUGUCCACUCUUGUAUUUUGUACAAUUUGAAUUUGCAAUAUCAUCUUGAAUCCUUGGUUUACAUUUUAAUGGAAGAAUUGGGGCGAUGUUUUAGCGCGUGUGAAAUGUCAACGAGCUUUUGCAUUUACACACGUUGUUGAUAAUGCAUGUAUACCUGUUGCGUUGUCUUGUGCUUCAGAAUUAACUCGAAAGUGAUGAUGCACCUCAAAACGCGCUCAGUGCUGAAUGUUGUAAAAUUCAUGAUUGUUUUUCCUUACAUAACAGAUGGACCUAUAGAAUCUGGAACUGAAAUAGAGACAGAUGGACCUGAAAUAAGUUUUUCGACAGUGACAGAGACCCCACACGUCAGAGACCCCACAUCUUAGCCCUGAGGGGAUCGACAUUGUGAAAGAACUUGAUACCUCCAUGACUUUGACCUCUGACCUUUUUGAUAGAUUGGCCAAUGGUGUUCCAACACAGUUAACAUUGGAAAGGAUGAAUUACAGAAUUAACAGAGAGCGAAAGAGAGAGUGAAAGAAAUAAUAGAGAGAGUAAAAAAGAGAAAGACCGCUUGGAGAGAGAGGGAGAGAGCGAGAGAAUGAGAGAGCGCCUCCAUCCACAAUGUCUUUGCCACCCAGUAGUCAAGUAUGAGGAAGUAUAGCUUUUGCCUUUGCAAAGUAAGUUGUUACUUCAUCAUUGUGGCUUUUAAAAAUAAGGCGAAUAGCUUUUCUAUAAAUAGUUGUCUAGUGUACACACUAUGUAAGUACGACUUAGGCAUGCACUCUAUGCUGUUUUAUGUGUGUAACAUGGCCAAUUGCAUGGUU
ensembl:lncRNA